UAUUGCACAAUGGGCGCAAGCCUGAUGCAGCCAUGCCGCGUGUAUGAAGAAGGCCUUCGGGUUGUAAAGUACUUUCAGCGAGGAGGAAGGCAUUAAGGUUAAUAACCUUAGUGAUUGACGUUACUCGCAGAAGAAGCACCGGCUAACUCCGUGCCAGCAGCCGCGGUAAUACGGAGGGUGCAAGCGUUAAUCGGAAUUACUGGGCGUAAAGCGGACGCAGGCGGUCUGUCGAGGCGGAUGUGAAAUCCCCGGGAUCAACCUGGGAACUGCAGCCGAAACUGGCAGGCUAGAGUCUUGUAGAGGGGGGUAGAAUGCCAGGUGUAGCGGUGAAAUGCGUAGAGAUCUGGAGGAAUACCGGUGGCGAAGGCGGCCCCCUGGACAAAGACUGACGCUCAGGUGCGAAAGCGUGGGGAGCAAACAG
rnacentral:rRNA from 1 species